rnacentral:rRNA from 1 species
UACGUAGGGGGCAAGCGUUGUCCGGAUUUAUUGGGCGUAAAGAGCGUGUAGGCGGCUAGAUAGGUCCGUUGUGAAAACUCGAGGCUCAACCUCGAGACGUCGAUGGAAACCAUCUGGCUAGAGUCCGGAAGAGGAGAGUGGAAUUCCUGGUGUAGCGGUGAAAUGCGCAGAUAUCAGGAAGAACACCCGUGGCGAAGGCGGCCUUCUGGACGAUGACUGACGCUGAGACGCGAAAGCGUGGGGAGCAAACAGG